AUUGUUACAACGGAUAAGUGGCUAAAGUUCACCGACCACUCGUGAAAACAACCCAAUUUUAGAGCCAACAAUCCUGAUUUUCUUUGUCAGUGGGGUAAAGCUGCGUACACACCACCCUCCCUAGAUCGCACUUGUGGGAUUACACCAAGUAUCUUUGUUUUCGCAUUUGGAGUAAAUUUCAUGAAUUAAAAAAUCACGCUAAUUCUAAUUCCACCCUUUCAUUUAAGUAAUUUGUUUUCACUUCCUUUUAAUGUAAGAUGAGUUGUGGUUCUUUUUUCGAUUUGUACUUGAAGACAUAUUGAAUUUUCAUCCCUUAUAAAAUAACAAAUGGCCUUCAACAUUUGCAGGUUUCUUGUCCCAACCUGGAAGAGCUAUACCUCUGGGGGCCUCAUAGCAUAACUGCUCUAUGCUCUCACCAACUUCCAACAGGCUACUUCAACAAACUUAAACAAUUGGAAGUGAGUGAGUGUGGCAAAUUGAGAAAAUUGAUGUCUCCAUCAGUGGCCAGAGGUGUUCUUAAUUUGCGGAGACUAGAGAUAAGAAAUUGUCAAUCAAUGGAAGAAGUGAUCACAGAAGAGGAACAACAAGGAGAAGAAAUGAGUAAUGAGCCCUUAUUUCCCCAGUUGGGAAAGCUGGUGCUCGACGAGUUACCAAAGCUGGGGCAUUUCUUUCUGACUAGCGUGUUCUUGAAUUUCCAUUUCUUUGGAAUGUGAAGAUUGAAAAUGUGAAGAUUGAAAUUAAAGUUGCCCUGAAAUGAAGGCGUUUGCCCUGGGAUCUGUGAGUAAACCGCGUUUGAAAUAUCUGAGUGUAGAUGAAUGAAUCAGAAAUGCUAAGGUGAAAAAUGAUCUUAAUAAGACGAUACAACAGAGGAUUAAUUCUAAGGGGAUGAUGCAUGGAGAAUGGAGAUAAUUGAGAAAUUAGAAGAUUGUCAAUUUUGACAAAUAAAAUCAGGCAAUCAGGUUCCUACUAAUAUCUUUUUCGACAGGAAAACGAUUUCACCUCUUUUUAUUUUUUUAUUUUUUAUAGCCUGAUAACCUAAAGCUAAAUACCAAGCUAUGCUUACCUUUUAACUCCACAAACAUUUAUGCCAGGUUUCUUAAUUAACUGGCAAUCAUCAUUUUAGAUGCUAAUGUAAAAAAUCUACGAGGUGGAGCAUUAGUGUCUUAUCUGAUGACGUUUUCGAAUUUUGAUAAAAAUUUCCACUUCUUUUUGUUCACGCAUAAAGAAAAGGGGAAUGGCUAAAAGAAUGAAGCUUUAGCCAUGAUACAUUAUAUGAUAAUUAUGUCAAAGCAACAAUCAUAAUAAAAAAAAAAAAAUCUCUUUUUGGAGGAAAUGUAAAAUUGAAUUUAUACCUUCAACAAAAAUACUUUUCCCGAAACUAUUUUUGCAGCACAAUUUUAUGGUACAACUACAAACUGUAAUGGUAAUCAAAGUAAAAAAAAGUACUAUUAAAUAAAAUUUCUUUCUCCCCAAAAUUCAACUUCCAUGAACCUGAUAUUUCACAUUCAUUUGAAAGCAACUUCCGAUAUGUUUUUCUUUGGAAUUGCAAAUAGACAUCUAAUGGGUUCACCAUUCAUCAGUUUGAGCUUUGAUUUUUCAUUCAAAUUUCAUGUAACUCACCAUAUACAUAUUCGAUUAAUGAUUGUUUAUACUGAUUAGCAUGGGAUACACGUGCAGCGCACGUGUCCCGAUAUUAGUAAUAUUAAAAGUGUGAAGCCCUAAGUCUAAAGUAAGAUUACAAAAAUACCCUUUAAAGGUUAAAUCUUUGACCCAUUUACCCUCCACUAAAUUAUUCCUUCAUUUGUAGUGUAUGGAAAAAACAAUUUAUGAAAUUUGUCUAAAAAAUUAGCCGAAGAGUUGUUACAUCAAAGACAGCCACAUCAGCAAGUAUUCACUAUACAAUUAAUAUGAGUCCUUUUUUAACAAAAAAAAUAAAAAAUUUCUGCUUCUUUUAGCUUACAUGAAUUUCAUCCGUUUGUUCUUUUUUUAUUACGUAUUAUCUUUUACUUUUUAAAUGUUCCAUGUCCUUCACCUAAAAAAAAAAAACCUUUUCUUAUUUUUCUUAAUUUAUGUUUAAAAUUCAAACUUUUCACUUUCCAUCUUCUAUAUAACUUAGUAACUCAUUUCGUCAUUAGCCAUUCAUGAAUAAAAAAUAAAAAAAAUUGUAGAAUUUAAGAGUCCAUUAUAUUAAUGAAUUAAAUGUAGGCUUAUCCAAUAAAUAUGUGGAAGAGAAGCCCAAAGAAAACCAACCAAAAACAACUAUAUAAAGGCAAGAAAUGGUUUUCAUUUUCCUUCAAGGAUGCCUUUUCGUUUAGCAGAUUUUUUUAAUCUUCCAUUUUUGUUUUCAAUACAAAAGUAGCAGAAAUGCAAGGUGAAUUACAAGUGCUGCAAUCACCUUUACUGGAAUUCAAGCUACUUUAUUCUAUGAGUUCAACUGAGUCGAACUUACUUCAGAAUUGUUAUGAUUUCGUAAAAUAGAUGCAAUUGUUGGUUGAUAAAUGAGUACCACAAACAAUAAGAUCACAUUAUAUAUGUAUA